AUCAGUAAACAUGUAGAGGUCUCCCACAGGUCUUCUGCAUACAUAUCAUGGCUAAGUAGCUUGGUGUUUAUGUGGCAGUCCUAAGAAUGAAGAUAGGAAGAUAUUCUGACUCUCUUGCCUGCCAGUGGGACCAUUUUCCCCUGCUUGGUUACCUCUUACAGUCUUGAUGUAAUGAACUCCUGAAACAGAAUGUGGAACAAGUCUCUGAGAGGCCCACUUGACCUGUAGGACUGACAGGGCAGAAAGCUGCAUUCUCUGCUGGAAUUACACGCUCCAUACCGCAAGCAUCAAACUAUGCCACAACUGUCAACCCAAAGCAAAGAAGAUGGAUUUGUUUAUUUUUAAGAGAAACCAGUUUACAGUCCUUAUUCUGACCAUAACAAAAUCAAGGACAUGCAAUAAAUAUUAAGCAACAAUAUUAUUUCAGAGAGCUGCUGGAAGCCUUCACAUCUAUAAUGUACUGCUUCACGUUGACACUCAUGAAUCCAGAAUGGAGGACUCAAGGCUAGCUUUGCAGAGGGCUGAGAACAAGGAGUCUUUAGAAAGAGAAGAAAGGGGUAUAUGAAGAUCAAAGAGAAAGGAAGCUGCUGUCCAAAUAGCAGUAUAAGAAUGAAGAUGACUUCUACACAAAUAAUAAGGCGAUGAUAAAUAACUCAACAGUGG